AAUAGUUUAAUGUCACAUCAACUUUUUUUCUCUUGAACUUUAGCAUUUCCCUCUUAAAAAAAUCAAAUCCAACUGAAAAUAUUAAAAUUCAGGAGGAAAAAAUUAAUGUGACAUUAAACUAUU
rfam:Gossypium hirsutum cultivar TM-1 chromosome 10, whole genome shotgun sequence